rnacentral:rRNA from 1 species
AACAAACGCUGGCGGCGUGCCUAAUACAUGCAAGUCGAACGGGUAGCAAUACCAGUGGCGCACGGGUGAGGAAUACAUAGAUAAUCUGCCUUCGAGUCGGGGAUAACCAGUCGAAAGAUUGGCUAAUACCGGAUAAGACCACAAGAUCUGCGGAUCAAGGGGUUAAAGGUUUUUCGCUUGAAGAUGAGUCUAUGCGAGAUUAGCUAGUUGGUGAGGUAAUGGCUCACCAAGGCGACGAUCUCUAACUGGUCUUAGAGGAUGAUCAGUCACACUGGAACUGAGACACGGUCCAGACUCCUACGGGAGGCAGCAGUAGGGAAUAUUGCGCAAUGGGGGAAACCCUGACGCAGCGACGCCGCGUGAGUGAUGAAGGCCUUCGGGUCGUAAAGCUCUGUCGUAUGGGAAUAACACAAUGAAUGUACCAUGCAAGAAAGGAUCGGCUAACUUCGUGCCAGCAGCCGCCGUAA